rnacentral:lncRNA from 1 species
AAGAGAAGGUAUGUUGUUUCAAAUAAGAAAAACAGUAUAUGCAAAGUCUUUAAGAAGAGCAUUACAUGUUGAAAAGCUUAUAAGAAGUUAGUUAUGAAUGGACAAGAGGGUGUGAGGCAGGAAAGAACAGUAGCAAAAGUAGAAGCUACACAAGGCCAGGUAAUAAAGGGGUUCAUGAUCAUCCUAGGGUAUUUAAACUUGAUCCUAAGGGAACUUACUUUAUUUAGAGUACUGUCAUUACUAUGUUUAUGUUUCAGAAAGAUCACUCUGACUGCUACAUGGAAAAUGUGCUGGGGAGAAACAAGACUGCAGGAAAUAAGAGCAGUGAACAAGCUCUUGCUGUAAUUCAAGUCAGGUGUAGAAGCUGGAGCUGGAGCAGCCAUUCUGAACUAUGUCGAAAAUCUACCUGGAAAUAAAAAGUUGACUCACCGAUUCACACCAUUUCCAUUUGUCUUGGUCUGGCUUUGGUGUCGGGGCAUUUCCAGUCUCAUAAAAUGACUUUGCGUAACACAUGGAAACUAAUGGUGUUCUACAAUUGCUGAAGCAAGUGUAACACUAAAGAAGCCUUAUGGAAAGAUUCCUGUGGCUGACCCAGGAGUAGUGGUGAAUUUCUCCAUCAAGAGCUGCACUCGGGCAAUGGGAAGGGGAAAUCAUCCGAGCUUAGCAGGCUGGGAGGUCACCUGUGACUGUCACAGGUAGGCUGCCUUAGGAAAUGAAUUAUUCUGACUGGCGGUGAGUAAAAAGGGAAGCAGCCCUUCUCCUGUUUCACUCCAAGACACGCAGCCAGUCAAUUUAACCUUUUCUCUUAAGAAGUCACAGCUCAAUCCUUUGUUAAGGGGGACUUUCAUUUUCUCACUCCUCUGUGCCUUCUUCAAUGCUGUGAUGCCAAGAAAAAAAAAAAAAUACCAACCCCGGGAAAAGCGCUUCCCUUGGAUAAAGAGAUGCCAAAUGCGCCAAAUAGGCUGUGUGAGCCAGGCAGCAUUGGAGGGAACAAAGCGCAGUAUAUUUCCAAAUAAAACUUCAAAG